GCCAUGCACUCGCUAAGAAUAAAUCAGAAAUCCUAUACUUUCUGCGUUCGGUGUUAGAUUCCACAGCGGAACAAACACCUCUUGCCUUAUGCAGUCUGGUUUCACGGAUUGCACAGGCUCCUUGGUUGAUCUGAAUGUCAACCUGGGCUGGGGGCUGCUGUUCAGCAUUUAGGGUUCCUCUGAAGGGAAUGCAGAGAAGUCAAGUCAAAAUGUGCCAAAGAUGUUACCAACAAUCAUGUCUUGUUGUGAUACUUUGAGUAACUUAUAUUAUUUUUCAGUUUUUUCCUUCCAUUUCCAAUAUGCAAAUAUACUUCCUAAUUUAAAAAAAUAAACGUUUAUAAAGAAUCUUGUAGAUAAAGAACAAUAACAGAAAUCACUGUACAGGAGGACUGGAAGGAAAUAAGACAAAAUGCUGCCUUUAGAUGUCUGGCCGGGAAGAAGAUCUACAUGUUCAUGAAAACAUCACAGGAGAAAUAAAUGUGAAAGAACAUCAGGGGAAGAUGGACUCAUGUCUUGGAGUAAGAUCUUGCAACUUUGUCAUUUUGUAGUUUGUGUCUCUUGGUGGAGGAGAUUCCAUCCACAGCCAGUGGUGGUGACCCAACACUGCUGGGCCAUUCCUGGUUCCCUUGCUGUGAGUGUGACACAGGGUGCUGGUCCGCUCUGGCUGAAGGGAAGAGGGUCAUGAAUGGAGAGCAAGGGGAGGCAGAAGGGUGGGCCAGUGGGAUCCGGGAUUGCCCCAAGGAUCUGGGCAACCAAAGCCAAGAGGAGCACACCAACUGCCCAUGGGCUAAGGUCGGCAGUCUGGGGAAGCUGAGACAAAAAAAAAAAAAAAAACAAAAAAACCCGGGGGUUCAGCAAGGGGGACACGGAUACUCAAAGCAGAGGGGAAAUUCUACUUAUGGACCUUCAUGGCAUUCCAAAAUUAGUUAACCCCUGGGAGAGGCUAAAUAUUGAUAGUUUUUCUCCCUGUCCCUCUGGCCAACUGCCUUUUUUAGGGGUCCUCGUUAGCCCCAUUAUAGUUCAACCCACCUCAUUCCUUUCCAUUCUGUUCACCCCACUCUGUGCCAAGCGCUGCUUGGCGACACCAGAGGACUGUGUGUUGGGAUAAGGAAGAAACAAGGUAAAUGUAUUACAUGACUAGUGCUGUCCUUCGGGCAGGGGCAACAUGGUAGCUGAUGGGCUGAGGCGGGCAGGAAAGGCUUCCAGAGGAGCAGGUACUGAGCUGGGUCCUCAAGGACACUGUGAGCAGCCUCCCAGCACAUCUGAGAGAGGAGGGCGAUUUCUGGAAGAUACAUAAGAGUGACGGAUGCCCCUGCCAUGUGCCUGGUGGAUGUCAGCUUCUGAACUGCAGGUGUGUUCAGAGGAGAUCUGGGGCCAUGAGGCUACCACACAAGUGGAGUGGCCUCCAAAGGGCAUUAACUGACCUGCUGAGGGAUCUGUAAUGAGGGGGAGAGACAGGUCUGAUUUGAACUUGGCAGUGGGUGACCAUGUGGGACAAUAUGGAUAGGUACCUCUGUUACCCUCGGUAUCGUGUCUUCAUUUGGGGGAGAAGAAAUUCUAAAUUUAUCAUUUAAUCAGAUGACUUUAGAAAAGUAGCUAUCUAGGUGCUGAGAAAAUUGGUUCAUUCAUUCAUACUUCAUGUAUUCAUUCAAAACAAUUCUUGUACCUCAGUUUAUAUUUCCUACUGCUUAAAUUUCUGUGGUGUCUACACAGAUUGUUAAGGCAUUGUUCUAAUCUCAAGAACCUUAAAAACAGAAGGAGGGGAAGGUGAGGACUAACCCCAUGGUGUUAACCCAUAAACUGAGCUGGUCACAUCACCACCUCACCACUACUUAAAAUGUCCCAGUGGGUUUCUAUUUCUCUCAGGAAAAGUACAAACUUUUAUCCAGGCCAAAACAUCCCUCUAUGGCCUCACCUCCUGAGACCCAUCUCUUAGCACCUCCCUUCUUUUCCCUCCAUGCCAGCCUCAUGGUCCUUCUUUAUGUGGUCCUUACCAGACUGUCUUCAACCACAGGCCUUUGACACAUGUUGUUCCCUCUACCACUGUCAUCUCCCUGGGUUCAUGUGUACUCAUCCUUCUAAGUGCACAUCAAUGCUGCUUCCUCGGGGUAGGCUUUCCUGGUCUAUUUAAAUUGACUCUGUCCUUAGUACACAACUCAUACUCCAUAUAACAUCCUUCAUAAGUCUUAUCCCAGUCACAAGAAUUUUUCAUUUAUGUACAUGAUAACUUUAUUAAUAUCUGUAUUCACCAGACUGUAAGCUCCAUGAGAACAAGGGCUGUGUCUUUCCAAAAAAAUCAACUUUACUGAGGCAUAAUUUUUGUACAACAAACACACCCACUUCACACGCACAUUUCAAUGAGUGUUGACAAAUUUACACAAAAAUGGAUUCACUGUGUAACCACCAACACGGUCAAGAUGUGGAACAUUUCCAUCGCCUCAAAAAGCUCCUCUGUGCCUCAUCCCAGUCAACUCUCUGCUUUGCUUCCUGUCUCUAUAGAUUAGCCUUUUCUAGAGUUUCAUAUAAAUGGAACCAUGCAAUAAGCAUUGUUGUGUCUGGCUUCUUCCAUUCAACAUAAUGUUUUUGAGAGUCAUCCUUGUUGUUGUAUCAGUGGUUCGUUGCUUUUUGUUGCUGAAUACUCUUCUCCAGUUGGUUCAUGGAAAUUACCUGUGUCUCUUCAGGUAAGCCUUUAGCUCCUUAAGGACAGAGGCCACAUUCUUUGACACCUCUGAUACUUGGUGUGGGCCUAGGCACAUAGGAGACCUGUGGGAGUAGCAGAAUCCAUCUUCCCUGACCCAGGGCAUGGGAGUGGCCACUCUGUACCCACAUUCAACAGUCACCCUGAUACUCACAGUCUUCCCCUCCAUGCCCACAGGCUGACCUUCUUGGCCCAGGGCUCCCAAGCACAUUUACCUCCUUCAGAAUCAGUCUGAUGCCUCUCACAGCAAUGCAGAGAAGUCCUGGGCCAGCCACAGCAGUUAGGGGGCAAAGCUGGGAGAUCACAGGCAGAUCAGAUCCCUCUGACACUGGGCACGUUGAUUUCCUUAACUGCCAAACAGAGACACUGCUGUCUACUUCACAGGGCCACUAAGUGGGCAAAUGUGUGUGAAAGUGCCACUUGAAGUAGAAAACACAAUACUACACAGUAAGAGUGAAUUUAAUCAUUUAAUGGAAUUAACAAGGGCCUGUGUUACUUGGGACCCCUUUUCCCUCUCAGGACCUUCAAUUUCUUUACCCAUCAGAUGAAAAGUUGAGCUAGAGUUCCCUAAGAUGCCUUCUGUCUUGAACCUUCUUGGAUUCUAAGGUGCUGGCAUAUGAGAGAAAGGGCCUGAUGAUCCAGAAUUAGAAAAAAAUUUGUGUGAUUUUUUAGAGAACAACUGACUUCUCUGAAAGUUCUCUUCCUGAGUAAAGGAUUCAGCUCUAGUUGUGAGACCAAACCAAUGUUUUUGCAUUAAUAGCCUUAAAUCUGCCACUCUUUCCAAGCCUGUCAUGGAAAGUACUAGAGCUCCUUUCUUCCCAUGUGCUGGCUGGUGCUAUGUGGCACGUCUUUUGCUGGACUAGAUCUUUGAUGGGUCCCCAUUACUGGAAGAGCAGGAACAGCCUCCCCUUUUGCAAAAGCCAAUAGUUCAGUUCAAAUGACUCUUUGUGGGCCCUGUCACUCAACAAAGGAUUCCUGAGGGCCCAGGUGUGUUAGGGGUUUUAUAAGUGUUGUCUCUCUCUGCCUGUGCUGGAAGUCUUAGACCACAAUUUAAGAUGGAGAAAUGGCUCAGUGAGGUGUGUAAAUGAUCAAGUUGGAGCUAAAUCACCAGGUCCUCCUUUCUGCUCUAAUAGGCGUUGCACUAGGCCCAGGGGAUUCCAAAAUGGUUCAGUCACACUUGAAUUCUUAGAGGCCAGGAAGCGAAAGCAAUAGUUUAAUAUUUAUUGAAGAGAAACCCAAGGCUGUCAAGGUUGUCACUAACUCACCAUCUUGUUCAACUCCCUCAUUUUACUGAUGAGCCGACAGGAGUCCAGAGAAGUGGUCUGACUUGCCUGGAGUGACACAGCCAGCUGGCUGCCAGCAGGAGCUGUUACCCAGGCCUCCUGACUCCCAGAUUGGGGCUUUCAUGGCCAGAGCAUGCCCUGGGGCAGAACGGGGACUGUGGCCAGAAACAAGGAAGUGUGGAAUUAGGAACAAGGCUAUAUUUCCAAAUCACUGUCUCCAGCAUGCCGGCUGGGAGCGAAGAAGAAGAAUGGCGUUCUGGGAACCAGUCAGCAGAAACCAUUUCAUAACUGCCCUUAAAAUAGUACAAUGCUGUGUCCUUUUCCUGUGACCUCUGGAAGACUGGAGGACAAAUCUCAGAACAACCAUUUUGUGAGACUGCAUUUCCUUGCUCCCACCCCCCCGCCCCACACCCUCGCGUCAAUGUAAAGACCCAAGGACCUCGGAGUAGCAAUUCCCAUUUUGUAAUCGGUACCAACUCCGUUUGCUAUUUGGUCCCAAACCCCCUUUGUUUUGAAAAAUCUUGGCUAACUAUUAGGUUGUGUUUAUUAAUCAGUCCCCAGUUAUUUCCCCCAUUCUAUCAUUCUCAAAGACAGAACCUCCAGAUCAGUGUGAGGUGAUCAGUGAAUCAGUGGACACUGGCAAGUGCCCUGACUGCCCACCACCCGUCAGGGCUCAUGCCGGGUAAGCAUGCAGCCAUCUUGGCUCCUUGGAUCUUCCCACCAACCCUGGGAGGUCGGUACCCAUUUUCCCCACCUCAAGUGCAGUGAGCAGUGUUCAGGAAAGCCAUCGUGCCAGGACAUGGCAGAGCCAGGAAAUCUGAGCCCUGAGCUGUGCUGGCAAGGCUCCCCCAUUAGCCUGGGCGUCUUACCACCAUCAGAAAGAGCACGCAGGCACUCUGAGCCUAGCCCCUGACUGCCUCUAGGGGAAGCCCUUCUAGAGUCUGAGGUGUCUGAGGAGCUGUGGAGGGGCAAGGUAAGAUCCAGCAGGACCCCCAGCCAUCCCGGGAACACUGGACAGGGCCACACAGGGCUCCUCAGCAGUGGGCAUGGUGACUGCUCAGCCAACAGGACACAGGCUUUGCACAAGCGGGCACAUUCCCACAGAUGACUCAGGAGGCAAGACGAUAGGAUGGGGUUUGCAAGUCAGACCCAGACUGGCCCAUCUCAUAGCUGUGUGAACUCAAGCCUUGCUUUUCUCGCCUGUAAAAUGGGGCCAAUACAAGCUACCUCAGUGUUACUUCAGAUGAUCUGAUGAGAGAGGUGUUGCCUGAUGCCUGGAAGAUAGUUAGGGCUUAAUAAUUGAGAGCUGCCCUUCUUGAUGCAGGGCGGGUGUUCCUCUGAGUCCCCCUUGGCCACAAACUUGGAAUAUUCGAUUUCUGCUUCACCCAGAGUCUGCAGCACAGUAAGACUGUCGGCGACUGUGGCCCAGGUCAUCUGCACUGGCCUCCAGAGCAGCCCUCUGUGAACCACUGACACUCGUUGCCAAUCGGGGUAGAAGCAUGCCUGCUCCAUGCCACGACCUGGGGCGGCCCCCAUGCCAGGACAAUGGUGCUGGAACACUGACCUAGAGAAGCUGACCAUAAAUGGGGGUAAAAUGGGGGUGCUAAUGGUUCAGAAGUUUGUUUUUAGGGAGGAUUUAAUGAGGUAAUAUAGGGAAAGGACAGUGCCGGGCUCAUAAUAUGUGCUCAGUGAAACUUAGCCGUAAUCAUAAGAAUUAUUAUCUCCUAGUGGCCAAGUAAUAUCUUAUUCUCUCAAAGGCCAUGUAGGGGUGCAAUCAUCACUUUCCCACUUUACAGAUGGGGAAGUCAAGGGGAGUGGCAGGAACCUCCCCAACACACAAGGUGUAGAUCCUUUCACUUGCACCCCGUGGCCAUCCAGGUGGCUCUGGCUGGGCUCUGGGCAACCCAGUGGGCAGUGGUGAGGUGGUGCCUUGUGCGGGAGCAGAACCCCUCGAGGCUCUUCGACCUCCCUUACCCUCCCGGCCAUUCCAGACUUUCCCCCGCCACUUCCAAGCGCGCCAGGACUCAGGCGCAAAGCUGCAAGAGCUGGCCUCAAGGGGGCAGCAGGAGCCUGGGAAACUCUAGGCUGGCUGGACUAGGAAUCUGAGUGCCACAGAAGGCUAGCCAGGGUGCCCUGGGGGGAAUGCUGACCGGCUGAGGGCCAUGCUGCCUGUGCCUGGAGCUGAACUCAGGGCUGGGAUGCAAGAGAGGGGGAGGACAGGAGGGCACUGAAUUCAGAUGCUCGGCCUCCUCCCGAACUCCGUUCUCCCUGGCCAGCUUGUUUCCGUUCUGCUCAGUAAAUAGGGGCUGCACUGAUCCAGGUGCCAUGGGGGAUUAAAUGUGCACAUUCCCAGCCCUCCAGAAAGUGAGGGAGGCCAGUGCAGCCUGGGGAGUGCAGGACCAGGGGGUUCAGGUGGGGGGUGUGGGGUGCAUCAUGACAGAGUCUGUCAGAAAGGGCAUCUUCCAAGCCACCAAAGACCAUGCAGAGACCAGGAUGUUCCUUAGAACUGCGCCUGGACCCCUCUGGCCUCUGCCUAAGGAACUUGCUCACCACCUUGUGGUUCUAGGGUCCGUGAAGGGCCAGAUUCCUGGGCCUUCCCCAAGCCUUGGAGUCAGAAGGUCUGUAGUUUUAGCCAGUUGUCCAGGGGACCUUUGCGCAGGCUCACAUCUGACAGCCUCUGCUAUGAGCCCACAGAAGGGAUGAAUACAGCUGUUUAUCGAUCUCUCCUUGCCAGGCCCUGAGUUAAGUGCUCUUUAGAUACCAUUCUAUGUAUUUCCCCCCCUUCACAAUAUUCCUUCAUCUGUUCUUUACAAAUAACGACCUGGACUAUGGCUCAGAGAGGUGAAGUGAUGUGUCCAAGGGCACACAGCACUUAGUACCUGAAGCAGGAUCAGAACUCAGGGCAGUGUGGUUCUAGAGCAUGCCUGCUUUCACUCUCCAUGUAACCAAGCAAGGGUUAGAGAAGCAGCAAAGGCUGUGCCUAACCCAUGGCCAAGGAAAGGAGCCAGGAUGACCUUGGACUCAAGAGAGGGGCUUAUCUUGGACUCUGCAGCUUGGGGCCUGGCACAUAGCAAACACUGAAAUGCUUCGACUUCUGUUUUUUAACAUUUGGAGAUAACAGGGAGAGCAAAGCCUUCUGUUCUCUCCUCCACCCCGGUCCCUGCCAGAGAUGGUUCUGUCCUCCUGGUCAGACCAGAGUCCAUGUGGCUCUGGUCUCGAACCCUGUGCAUCUUGGCAGGAAAGGGGGUGGGGAGGGGAAGAGAAGGGUCUGGGUCUAAGGUUCCCUGGCAAUCUGUUUUCCGACUCCUGAGCUCCUUGGAAGCUGGACUUCCAGAUCUAUUUCCUUCAGUGUCAUUAUCUGAAACAUAGAUCUCCUGCGUCUGGUCUCACUGGCAGUUUGCAAGUAUUCUGUGAGAUCAUGUGGGAGGAGAGAGGCCUGCAAACCCAGAUGCGCAGUUCAAAUGUCUACCAUUACUCAGGACAACUGCUCAGAAAUUGGGAUCAGUGUGGGGCCAUCAGACGAUGACCAUCUCUCUACCCCGCUAGUCAAAUAAGAUUCAAAUAGUCCACUGGAAUGGGCCUGUGGCGGCCUCUAGCUCUGUUAGCUUAGACAGCCUCUCUCAUCUGUGCCCCCUCACCCUCUCUAAUCUGUCUCUUUCUUCACCAUUCAAAUUAGUUAUUUGAAUGACCAGAAGCCCGAAGUUCCUUUCCGGGCCCAGUGGCCCCCAACUUGCCCAAGAACUCUCUUCCCUCGGGCUUCUGCAAACUGAGAAAUUCCAAGAUUCCCACCGUGCUCAGGUCCCUCCUUUGGCCACCUGACACUGCCUGCUCAACACAGGGGGCCCACAGGUCAUCAGCGAAGCACCCACUUCUCCCCAGCCUGCGGAGACAAGAAAGAAAGAGGCCACAUGUGCAUCCUUAGGCUUCCUAGACAGGUGCAUCUCUUCUGUGGCCAAAGUGGCCACAGGUGGACUUAGAAUGUUGAUGGAACAGUCACAGGGAAAAGAAACACACAGAGAUAGUAAUAAUGCUGACGGUUCCUGAGCAGAGAAAUGACCUUCAGAUGCUACUCACCUGUGGUGGCACCAGAUCCCUUUCACCUUUGGAAUCUCUCUGGUCUUCCUGUUCCAGAACAUCUUCAGCUCGUGGCUCAACCUGCAGGGGCAACUAUGACGUGGUGACAGCUCACUGGCUCCUUAGAGAUGGGCUCAUGUCUCAGAAUCCCCCAAUUUGGGCAAGUGCUUUCCUCUUUCGGUGCUUCCAUUUGCACAUCUGUAGGAUGGGCUCUCCCUACCCCUGCUCCCCUGAUCUCAGAUUAGUGGGAGGGUCUGAUGAGAUGGCCUGUAGAUGUGAAUGCUCCACACUUAGCACACGUGGGCCCCACCCUCUUGCCGAAUCUCCAGGCUUUCUAGAAUGUUGUUAAUUGGUAGUGAAUAAAUCUCUGACUCCUCAAAUAAGGAUAAAAAGACUACUUUCAUUUGACUUCACCCUGCAAUUCUGGGACUCUAACCAGUAGAAAUGAAAACGAAGGAUGCAAGGAUAUGGAUGAUUAUCACCACGCUGGUUGUAUUUGUUACGAGGGGACUAGAAGAACCCUACAAAACUAAUGUGCAUCACUAAUGGAGAGGCUGAAUAAACUAUGGUACGAUGACCACUUUGUUGGAUUAAGCAGCUAUGACAAUAAAGAAUGUUUUCUUUUUCUUUUGA